rnacentral:rRNA from 1 species
UACGGAGGGUGCAAGCGUUAUCCGGAAUCAUUGGGUUUAAAGGGUCCGCAGGCGGUUCUAUAAGUCAGUGGUGAAAUCUCUCGGCUCAACCGAGAAACUGCCAUUGAUACUGUAGGACUUGAAUUCGGUCGAAGUGGGCGGAAUAUGACAUGUAGCGGUGAAAAUGCUUAGAUAUGUCAUAGAACACCGAUAGCGAAGGCAGCUCACUAGGCCUGGAUUGACGCUCAGGGACGAAAGCGUGGGGAGCAAACAGG